rnacentral:tRNA from 1 species
GCUCCUCUAGCCCAACGGUAGAGGCACUUGUCUUAGGAACAAGUCAGUCUCGGUUCGAGUCCGAGGGGGAGCACCA